rnacentral:sRNA from 1 species
AUUUACAAAUUUUUAUAUAUAUUAAUUUUUAAAAAUGAACUGUCUCCGCGGUGUACCGCGGGUUAAAAUCUAGUUAUUAAAGUAAUUUGAGAUCAGUAAUUUGAGAUCAGUUACUCUUGGAAAA